AUGCCGAGCUUCGUGCCAUGGGGCGGACCUGCUGUCCACCAGGCCAAGUGUGAAAGUGAUUUGAAUUUGGCUCGGCGGCGCUCUGCGCCUGCGCCCAGCCGCUGGCAUGCUGGCUCCUUCCAAGCAGCUGUUUUGGGUUUGAAAUUCCAACAUGGCAGAGGCUGCAGUCCGUCUUCCCUUCAAAAACUUGGAAUGAUUUCAAAUCAUAGGCACCUUCACUUAACCCCGGCUUCCAUUCAUCAGCAAACACCUCGGAUCGAUGCUGCGCUAACCCGCCGGCGCCUCGCUCCGCGCGUUCAGGUUAAAUGA
rnacentral:lncRNA from 1 species